ACUCCUACGGGAGGCAGCAGUGGGGAAUAUUGCACAAUGGGCGCAAGCCUGAUGCAGCGACGCCGCGUGGGGGAUGACGGCCUUCGGGUUGUAAACUCCUUUCGCUAGGGACGAAGCGCAAGUGACGGUACCUGGAGAAGAAGCACCGGCUAACUACGUGCCAGCAGCCGCGGUAAUACGUAGGGUGCGAGCGUUGUCCGGAAUUACUGGGCGUAAAGAGCUCGUAGGUGGUUUGUCGCGUCGUUUGUGUAAGCCCGCAGCUUAACUGCGGGAUUGCAGGCGAUACGGGCAUAACUUUGAGUGCUGUAGGGGAGACUGGAAUUCCUGGUGUAGCGGUGGAAUGCGCAGAUAUCAGGAGGAACACCGAUGGCGAAGGCAGGUCUCUGGGCAGUAACUGACGCUGAGGAGCGAAAGCAUGGGUAGCGAACAGGAUUAGAUACCCUGGUAGACAUCA
rnacentral:rRNA from 1 species